AGAUUCAAGACGGCCAUGAGCAAACAAGUGUUUAGGAAAGUUUCCAUUUGGAGGCAUGCUGCUAAGUCACUUCAGUCGUGUCCGACCUGCGCGACCCCAUGGACGGCAGCCCACCAGGGUUCCCCGUCCCUGGGAUUCUCCAGGCAAGAACACUGGAGUGGGUUGCCAUUUCGUUCUCCAAUGCAUGAAGGUGAAAAGUGAAAGCGAAGUCACUCAGUCGUGUCCAACCCUCAGCGACCCCAUGGACUUCAGCCUUCCAGACUCCUCCAUCCAUGGGAUUUUCCAGGACACGACCAGAAGACUAUCAUACAGAUUCAACCAGGACACUGGUGCCGAUCUGCAGAAAGCGUAGGAGCCGUCUUUUCUGAACAUAAACGUGGGAAGAAGUUCUGAACUUGUGUUCCUGCACCACAAAGGACUCUUCCUUUGGGACAGACAUGUACAGACCCUGCUUUGGAGACCACUCCACUAGCAGAGUAUUUCUCAAAGAGGAGCCCUCAAACCAUUUAGAUCAGAAUUAACAAAGUUCUUAUAAGAAUUUGGAUUCCUGGGCUUGAGUCCAUGUUUAGUGAAUGGGAAUCUUGGGGUAGGACUCAGGAAAUCUGAAUUUUACAUUAUUCUUCAAAUGAUCCUUACACACAUGAGUGUUGGUAGCCGCUGUGUUAGGGGCUG
ensembl:lncRNA